rnacentral:rRNA from 1 species
GAGGAAGUAAAAGUCGUAACAAGGUUUCCGUAGGUGAACCUGCGGAAGGAUCAUUAUCGAGUUUUGAACGGGUUGUAGCUGGCCUUUAACGAGGCAUGUGCACACCUGGCUCAUCCACUCUCAACCUCUGUGCACUUUAUGUAAGAAACGGUGUAAGCCAGCUAUUUAAUAGUUGGUAACAAGCCUUUCUUAUGUUUACUACAAACGCUUCAGUUAUAGAAUGUUUACUGUGUAUAACACAAUUAUAUACAACUUUCAGCAACGGAUCUCUUGGCUCUCGCAUCGAUGAAGAACGCAGCGAAAUGCGAUAAGUAAUGUGAAUUGCAGAAUUCAGUGAAUCAUCGAAUCUUUGAACGCACCUUGCACUCCUUGGUAUUCCGAGGAGUAUGCCUGUUUGAGUCUCAUGGAAUUCUCAACCCCUAAAUUUUGUAAUGAAGUUUAGUGGGCUUGGACUUGGAGGUUGUGUCGGCUUCUAGUCGACUCCUCUGAAAUGCAUUAGCGUGAAUCUUACGGAUCGCCUUCAGUGUGAUAAUUAUCUGCGCUGUGGUGUUGAAGUAUUUAUUAGUUCAUGCUUAUAGUCGUCUCUUACCGAGACAAUUUAUGACAAUCUGAGCUCAAAUCAGGUAGGACUACCCGCUGAACUUAAGCAUAUCAUA